rnacentral:tRNA from 7 species
UUAAUUGAAGCCAAAAUAGAGGCAUAUCACUGUUAAUGAUAAGACUGAAUAUUAAUUCCAAUUAAG